rnacentral:rRNA from 1 species
ACUCCUACGGGAGGCAGCAGUGGGGAAUAUUGCACAAUGGGGGAAACCCUGAUGCAGCAAUGCCGCGUGAGCGAUGAAGGCCUUUGGGUCGUAAAGCUCUGUCCUCAAGGAAGAUAAUGACGGUACUUGAGGAGGAAGCCCCGGCUAACUACGUGCCAGCAGCCGCGGUAAU